rnacentral:lncRNA from 1 species
UUUUGAAAUUAACAAAGUAUAAUUUACUUACAAAAUAUGUUUGUGAAAAUGAUGCUAGAAUUAUCAAACUAUGCAUCAUUGUCAUGGCUGAUUCUGUAAUCUCCGUUUCUAUGUUGCUGGGCAGCAGAACUUCAAACAUCUCAUAGCUGGCAGGCACUUUUUGUUUUUCUAAAUACGCAACUAAAAUUCCACAUUAAAAAAAAAAAUAACCCUCUCAAGUGUGUGAAACACAUCAGGACAAAUGGCAACAGGAGAGAAGGGCAGUUAUGUUGGAGAGUGGCCAAAAGAGAAGAAGGCUUGAACACUAUCGACAAGUGAAAACACAUCCUGAACAGCGCUACGUGAAAUCUAGUGUUCUUUCUUUGUUCUGACUGAAUGCUAAGUGAGUUACUUUUCAGGCAUCAAUGGAGUAAUUAUGCAGUUGUGUCCAUUAAGAAUAUGGGCUUAUGUGGUUAGCUUGUUGGUUUAAAGCAGUGAGGGAGAAAGACUGCAGUCAUUAUAGGUUCUGUUCUUCAAAGGCAUAAAUAUUGUUACAUGCAUGGAGUACUCAAGGACCUGGUUCAAGUUCCUGGGCAUAAUCUAGAUGUUUAUGAAGUUUGUUCCAAAAGUAAGUUUACAAUCUUUCUUCACCAACUGGCUCUGUUACCAGGCAAUUCUUACUGUGGUAUGGAAACCACAGUGUAUGCUACCUUCCUCCAGAUUCUAACAGGCACAUUUGUUAAAAAACAACAACGAAUGUGUUUUCUGAGUCAGUUGAACAUGGCAGCCUCCUAAGUUGGUAUUUCCUGUUUCCUGUCUUACAAAACAUCCCUGCUGCUGCCUUUCUUCCCAAAAGCUUGGCACGUUACUCCUGACCAAGAGUAAUCUUAUGAACUUAACAAAUUGAAGAUACAUUUCCACAGCUGAACUCUUUUGUGUUAAAAAAAAAAAAAAUCCUGCCACAGCAGGUGAUUCCCACAUGUUUGGGAGAGCAGCAAUUCUAGACCAAAUGUCCACCAAUGCCGUCGUGUUGAUCCACACUGGAGUGCUGUUUAAUGCUAACAAAAUCAGUCCCGUAGUCUCACUUUCUCUGAACAAUCAAGCACACAUUCUCAGAUUUAUCUCAAUUCAGAGUGAGAAAAAUAGAAAAAUAGCAAAAACAGAAGCAAAUUCUUCUUGGAAGUGUCAAGUACUUAAUGAAAGUGGCUUCCCCUUGUUCAAAAUGCAAAACCCAAUGUGGUGGCUAAGGUGUGAAGGAAGACUUUGACUCAAAUCAGCAAAAUUAUUUUAAAAACCUAAUGUCCCCUAAUUAAUUUAUUAGCUUUUACUAAGGGGAAAGCUUCCAGCUUUUAUAUGUGCUGAUAGAAGUAUGUUUAGAUGCUAUCAGGGCAUUGUGUAAGGUUCUUAAAUAUGAUUAUUUUAAAUUUACCAUAAAUUGUUCCUCAUUGGAAAAGAGACAUGUCUUUCUCCAGCUUCCCACCAAAAUAAAAUGACUGGUGAAUGCUCAGUUUCAGUUUUCUUUCAGAAGUUUAGAAAGUUUUAAUAAAAAGCCAGUUAAGAGAAAGGGGAGAAAGUCACUAUGGGUGUCGAGAAGCGUGUAGACAGCUUGCUACAAGGGCUACUGAUGAAACAAAAGGGACUAUCCGAAGUUAGAGCAAUAAAAAAUCUGCUCACCUUUCUAAACUUCAUUAAACUCACAUCUUAAAAAGGAAAAAAAAAAACUGCAAAAGACCAAUGAGAUCAUGCAUGCUGCCUGUAUUCAUGUGAUAGAAUCUACCAGAACUGCGUUGUAGUUAAAUGAAAAACAGGCACACAUUUAGAGAUCAUUGAC